GGUUUCGUAGCUUAACUGGUAGAGCGCUUUCUAUGUUCGAACUUGCUUUUUCUGUCGCUGGUUUGAAUCCAGCCGAAACCA